GAGUUUGAUCAUGGCUCAGGAUGAACGCUGGCGGCGUGCCUAAUACAUGCAAGUCGAGCGAACAGACGAGGAGCUUGCUCCUCUGACGUUAGCGGCGGACGGGUGAGUAACACGUGGAUAACCUACCUAUAAGACUGGGAUAACUUCGGGAAACCGGAGCUAAUACCGGAUAAUAUAUUGAACCGCAUGGUUCAAUAGUGAAAGACGGUUUUGCUGUCACUUAUAGAUGGAUCCGCGCCGCAUUAGCUAGUUGGUAAAGUAACGGCUUACCAAGGCAACGAUGCGUAGCCGACCUGAGAGGGUGAUCGGCCACACUGGAACUGAGACACGGUCCAGACUCCUACGGGAGGCAGCAGUAGGGAAUCUUCCGCAAUGGGCGAAAGCCUGACGGAGCAACGCCGCGUGAGUGAUGAAGGUCUUCGGAUCGUAAAACUCUGUUAUUAGGGAAGACAAAUGUGUAGUAACUAUGCACGUCUUGACGGUACCUAAUCAGAAAGCCACGGCUAACUACGUGCCAG
rnacentral:rRNA from 1 species